UGUGUAACGUGAAUAAGAGCCAGUGUCCGUUAAAGUGUCGGCCUCAUCAGUAGUCGAAUGAUAAAUACUUUUAAUUUAACAUGAUUUGGGUUCGAUCAUCCGAGGAUAAAGGGCUGGUUGCGUCUUUGGUAUUCUAUUUUUCUGCAUGCGUAACAUAAGUAUGAGCCAGUUUCUGCCAGAAAGUCCUCUACAAAGGCAUCCAUUCUCAUAGGCGUAUAAUCAGCGUAGCUUUUGCUACAUUCAGCUAAACUAAUCUGACUAUCAGAGAGUUCACAGAGAGGACAUCCCUCCCAUUAAGCAGAUGGUCUUCGCGUGUUUUUAAUUAACUCAAAUUAGUGGUAUAAUUUUUGUCAGCUCAUUUACUCCGAAGAGUUUAAGAAAGGCCUAUCAAAUAUUUUUGACGGAAAGUAUGGCUUAGUAGAGAACUGAAUGGGCAAGUUUCCUGGUAAAUUGUACCCAAUUCUGUGCUAAGCUUUAGAAAGGACUGAUAGCAUGCAGUCUUCCCCGUGGGAAAUCAGAAUACCAUUUCCAGAGUACGUGUUGCAUCCCAACAGAUACCGGCCAUGCUGCUAUUAACGCCUAAACGACAAUUUUUUUCAGAUUUCGAGAAGAGAGGUAUGGAACUUCAAGGAGCGAAAAUAUUUUGGGCACUCAUUGAAGAAUGUGGAUCUUUCUUAUAUCUCUUUUGAAAUUCAGAGAGAUUUUGUACAAAAAAAAAAAAAAAAAAAAAAAAAAAAAAAAAACUACAGUAAAUUUAAGAUCGAUUAAAUUAGUUUUAAUUUUGAUAUUGGUAUGAUUAUUUUCUAUAGCAUUUAUGAUUUAUUAUAGUAUUCUAUAGUUUAUUAAAAUAUGUUAAAUAUGGUGAAUAAUUCUAUUGCUACACGACAAAUGCUAUUUGU